CCUACGGGUGGCAGCAGUGGGGAAUAUUGGGCAGUGGGCGCAAGCCUGACCCAGCAACGCCGCGUGAAGGAAGAAGGCUCUCGGGUUGUAAACUUCUUUUAUCAGGGACGAAGCAAGUGACGGUACCUGAUGAAUAAGCCACGGCUAACUACGUGCCAGCAGCCGCGGUAAUACGUAGGUGGCAAGCGUUAUCCGGAUUUACUGGGUGUAAAGGGCGUGUAGGCGGGAAAGCAAGUCAGAUGUGAAAACCAUGGGCUCAACCUGUGGCCUGCAUUUGAAACUGUUUUUCUUGAGUACUGGAGAGGCAGACGGAAUUCCUGGUGUAGCGGUGAAAUGCGUAGAUAUUAGGAGGAACACCAGUGGCGAAGGCGGUCUGCUGGACAGCAACUGACGCUGAGGCACGAAGGCCAGGGGAGCGAAAGGGAUUAGAUACCCCUGUAGUC
rnacentral:rRNA from 1 species